rnacentral:rRNA from 1 species
GGNGNNGCUAAUACAUGCGAGUCGAGCGCAGUAAUUUUAACGCGAAGGCCUUCGGGCUGGAAGCUAAAAGCGCGAGCGGCGGAUGGGUGAGUAACACGUGGGCAACCUGCCCUUUAGCUUGGGAUACCACUUGGAAACAGGUGCUAAUACCAAAUAAGAAGCAAGAGCGCAUGCUCAAGCUAUGAAAGGCGGCUUUCGAGCUGUCGCUAGAGGAUGGGCCCGCGGUGCAUUAGCUAGUUGGUAAGGUAACGGCUUACCAAGGCAAUGAUGCAUAGCCGAGUUGAGAGACUGAUCGGCCACAUUGGGACUGAGACACGGCCCAAACUCCUACGGGAGGCAGCAGUUCUUAAUCUUCCACAAUGGACGCAAGUCUGAUGGAGCAACGCCGCGUGAGUGAAGAAGGUUUUCGGAUCGUAAAGCUCUGUUGUUGGUGAAGAAGGAUGUGAAUAGUAACUGAUUCAUAUUUGACGGUAAUCAACCAGAAAGUCACGGCUAACUACGUGCCAGCAGCCGCGGUAAUACGUAGGUGGCAAGCGUUGUCCGGAUUUAUUGGGCGUAAAGCGAACGCAGGCGGGAGAACAAGUCAGCUGUGAAAGCCCUCGGCUUAACCGGGGAAGUGCAACUGAAACUGUUUUUCUUGAAUGCAGAAGAUGAGAGUGGAACUCCAUGUGUAGCGUGGGAAUGCGUAGAUAUAUAACAAGAACACCAGUGGCGAAUGCGGCUCUCUGGUCUGUAACUGACGCUCAAGUUCGUAAGCAUGGGUAGCGAACAGGAUCACAGACCCUGGUAGUCCCAUGCCGUAAAACGAUGAAAUGCUAAGUGUUGGUUAGGUUCUCCCGCCUCUCAGCUGCUGCAGCUAACACAUUAAAGCACUCCGCCAUGGACGAAGCUACAACCGUCAAAGCUAAAACUCAAAUAGGAAAUGUGGACCGCGGGCGCCCAGCCACAAGGCAGGCUGGAGCCAUUGUUAGAGUUUCUAAAUUCAGACAAGCGCGAACGAGCGCCAUGUACACCCUGUACCUAGGACCUUCGAUCUAUUCACUAGUGCCCCAGUCCAUAGAGAUUAGACAUCUGUUUCUCGCCGUGUCGAGGAGGAGNAACUNGAGNUGAGCCGAGGCCUGUGGUGNNNNNUGCNNNNUGANUCGUUCCNAGNNUUCGNUGAGUCCNGUGUGAUAAGAGANNNGNUUUNNNGNNGGGU